rnacentral:rRNA from 1 species
AACGAACGCUGGCGGCAGGCUUAACACAUGCAAGUCGAACGCCCACUUCGGUGGGAGUGGCAGACGGGUGAGUAACGCGUGGGAAUAUACCUUUUAGUACGGAACAACAGUUAGAAAUGACUGCUAAUACCGUAUGUGCCCUUCGGGGGAAAGAUUUAUCGCUAAAAGAUUAGCCCGCGUUGGAUUAGCUAGUUGGUAAGGUAAUGGCUUACCAAGGCGACGAUCCAUAGCUGGUCUGAGAGGAUGAUCAGCCACACUGGGACUGAGACACGGCCCAGACUCCUACGGGAGGCAGCAGUGGGGAAUAUUGGACAAUGGGGGAAACCCUGAUCCAGCCAUGCCGCGUGAGUGAUGAAGGCCUUAGGGUUGUAAAGCUCUUUCGCUAGGGAAGAUAAUGACUGUACCUAGUAAAGAAGCCCCGGCUAACUUCG